AUUCGAUUCAUCUUGGACUCUUGUUAAAAAUACAGAACAUGAUUCAGCAGGCCAAGUGCCAGGAUGCAUAUUUUGUAGUUUUAACAAAUCUCUAGGUGAUGCUAAU
rnacentral:miRNA from 1 species